UUGUUUUACACAAGAAGUGGCUUUGAAAAAGUACACAGUUUGAAAAGGAUUUGAAUACCUUAAGGAUGUUAUUUGUGAAAGAUGGAUUUUGUUUGAUUUUCAUUAUCUAAAUUCCCUCCCACUUGAAAGGGGACCCUUCCCCUCCAUUAAUAAUUGACAUCUUAUUACUUAUCCCCCUCAUCGUGGCAGGCUUUGAUGUGGGCUGUGUUCUUUUAUCAGCACUGUGCUACGUAUUGAUCGCCGGGCAGAUAGGAGCACUAUCAAAGGGAUUCCUCGUGGGGCAGUCAACACCCGGUCACCUCAUACUCCUGGAAUGUGGUCAAGCACCGGUCCAGCUCACUCUCACUGUCACAUCCCUCUACUUCUUAUUCGGCUCGUCCUGUCUGAUCUCCGCUUAUCUGGGUUAAAUAUUCACAAAGAAUAACAAAGCUGUCGAAAUGACAUCAUCUCAAGUGGAAGGAGGGGAAUGUGUUCGGUAGGAGGGCAAAUUGCCAAAGGGGGGUUCCACAAAAAGAACCUGUUAGGUCUCAUGUUCUGGCUGAACAUUACAGAGGAUGAUGAUCUCAUUCAUAAAGCUCAUUAUGGUUCACUGGAGAUGCUUAUCGUCAGCUGAGUAACAAACAGCUGCAGACACUAUGCAAUCUGACUUCAUCACAGUCCAUCAGGGGGUUCACGUAACGCUGCCUGGAGGUCACUGCACCCACGUGACCCCCUCCUGUCUACUGGCUACCCCGAUGACAAGGCUGUCCACCCUCCAGACCGAGACCAGACAGUGGACGUGGUGACCCCACCCUGCUCAAACACACACAGAGGUCACUCAUGCAAGAAGUGAUCAAAUUUCCAAUAUCACAGUGAACGAGGAAACCAAUCCCCUCUUCCACAGUCCAUCUCCAUCUCUUUCGGAGAGGCCGCAGGUGCGCCAAAGUCCAAACCUAGAGGUCUAUCCAAUUCUGGCAGGACAGAGGAGGCAGGGACCCGUGACUUCUCACACAGCUCAGUGGUGGGACACGAUCACAGCUGAAGGACAGGGAGAGAGAAAGAAGCAGUUGGGGGCAGGGUGAUGCUCUGUGAGAGAAUGCAGAGGGUCGGUCUCAGCUCCAGCUGUCCGGGGGUUUAUUGAUCGGUGAUAGCCCUGAGGGGGGAGGGGGCAGAUCACCAGCACUGCCCUGUCCUCCAUAACAACAUAACAAGAGGACUACUAGAAUUAACUCACAGUGGACAUUGUUAACCGUCAAGCUAUGAGCUGACUGUAAAUGACCUAGAAAUAAAAGGAAUGGUUGUAUAUCUGAACUGAAAAAUGUUUGUGGUUAUAUUGGGAAUCACUCAAAACUGUCUAGAUCUUGAUCUUUUUAUGCACCUGUAGUAAACAACAUUGUGUGCUUGUGAUGUUUGUACUGUCUGUAGCCCGUGUUUACAACAUUCAGUACUGCCAUAAAGUAAAACUAAGUUGAAUUAAAAUAGUUUAUAAUGAAAAAAUAAGAGUUAAGCUGAAUCAUUUCCUUUAACAAAUUAAUAAAAUUCAGCUUGGUUUCUUUUUUAUUAGCUGCUUCCCCAAUAUUGUUAAUAACAGAAAAAGAUUUAAGUGGGGUGGCAUGAAUUUUUUUUACUUCUUUUUGACAUAAAGUCUCCCAUGAUGACUGUUUAAAGGCACAGUUGGUGGUGUGGCAGUUAAUUUAUGUCAAAAACCUCUCUUAUUUUUUGUAACACAAACAACUUAUACAUGUGUUUCCUCCCACAGCUGCCAAAUUAGACUGAUCAAGAUCAAGGCCACUUCCAGCAGGAUCUAGGUCAUUUCCACUUAUAAUAAUGUAGAAAAAGUCAGAACCCUUGCUCAGUGAGCAGUUGACUUGUAAUUAACCAGAACAUACUGUUCAAUUAAAAUCUGGCAUUUAGGUGUGAAUUAUAAAAUGAAAUGUGAAACAGUCAAAUGAUGUAUAUAUGCAAAAACAUUAUAGGAUGUAGCCAGCCAUAGAAGUUUUCAUGAGUUAGUAUUAUUUAUAUAUGGAGGGUAUUUAACGUUCAGCUCAUUGUAGCCUUUAGGUGUUCC
ensembl:lncRNA